rnacentral:lncRNA from 10 species
AUUUAAAGCUAUACAGAAAAUUAACUGAGGAACGGACUAUGGGGUCGUUGAUCUUCCUUCUCAUCAAACUUGCAUCCCACCAACUUCGGGCCUGCUGCAGCUAAUUAUUCUUGGUGUCAACAAUUUUGGCAUUGCAGAAGACCAUGGAGACAACUUUUUUAUUUCUCCAUCACACAAGGACUGAAGAUACAAAAAUGAGUUUUUCUUUCCUAUGGCCUUGGACUAGCUAUAUACGAUAGUAAUUAGCAAGCAGGCUCUGAAUUACACGAGCCCCUCCCACUGACUCUUGUACUUUUUAGCUAUAAGAACCUAAGCACGAACUUCGCAGAGCUCCAGUGCUUCUGUUUUGAAAAGAGAUAAUAUUUCCUAUGGGAUAGGGUUGUCUGGGGGUACUAAAUGAGAACUACAUACAAAGUACUUAAUGGAAGGUAUGUAGGACUCAAUAGAGGUAGCUAUUAAAUUGUAUGUAAGUAACAAAUCCUGAUAAUGUUCAAUUCUGAAUAAAACUUAGCAAGGUAGUUUUAUUGUCUUUAUUAUUUUUUAUUGAUUAGAAAACUGAUCCUAAAAUAAGUUAAUUAAUUUUGCCAUAGAAAUACCCAUUUAUUGUACAAAUUGGUGAUUUUCGAACCCAGAUCUAUUUUCCACUGUCUUGCAGCAAUGCUGUGCAGAGCUGGGCCUGCCUCAUGCCCUUGGCAUAGCUGUGAGUUACUGUGUAAGCUGUGUUCACCUGCUAAAGAGUUCAUCUUCCAGAAAAAUCAGAGAGAUAUUACGGGCAAAAGCCCAGAAUUCCUUAAGAGUAUAGGAAGAUGCACAAUGAACACUCCCACCCACUAAGAAGGAAGAACAAUUAAAGGCUGAACUAUGGUGAUGCCAUAUUUUUACAUCCGAAGGCACUGCACCACAGGCCCACAAUGAACAUUUAGCUCUCUUAAGUCUCCACAUUCUUUAUUCUGUUUUUGGAAAAGCUUCCUGUUUCUAAUUUGACAAGCCAUCUGCCUUGUUAGCUUUGCUUCCUUUAUCAUUUUUUUUUUACCUUUGAAAAUAAACUCUAGAAGCAGCCCCACGUAAGGCAAAGAAAAAUAAUGAAGAAAAACAUGUGCCAAGGGCUUCACUGACACAACGUUCAUCCCUAGUGUUUUUAAUUUGUCGAUUUGUUUUGCUUGAUUGGAGGUCCACUGAAUAGGAACAUAAUUUCUAUGCUACUGCCUGUAUGCCAAUACAAUCAUUCACUAUUUCUUAAUAUAAAAUUGCAAGAUGGCUUACUUUUAGAAAUACAGCGGGAAAUGUAAUUAAGUAUUGAAAACAGUUUCUCUUUUCCAGUCAAAAGUGUCUGAAUAACUUCUACUUAUAUACUACUCUGUAAUUGCCAAAGCACUUUUAUAUGUAUCGUUAGAUUUAAUCCUCCUAUUUACCUUCUCUGGGAUUAAAUUAGCUUGUAGUUGAGGAUGGGGUGGGGUAGAUUUUGUGAAAGUUCUACAGAUUCUGCUGUGUGUUCUCUUCUUCUUGUUUAAAUAUUGGAAUUUUAGGAAUCUGCACAGGUCUCUUAAUUUAUCACAUAGGCCUCAGGUAAAAAAACUGGUUUAGGCACAGGGUAAAAACAGACUUAACCUGUCCCUUCCAGGUAAACAUUUGUAUUUUAAGUGCAUUUAAUUAUCUCUGAAAUUCCACAUUUGACCUUUUCACCUUCCCCAAAAACUUCUUGGGAAAGAAACCAUUGGUUUGUACUCCUUGAGAAGCCUCAUACAAGUUGCUUAAUAUUUAAAGGUUAAAAAAUAAUUACUUGGGCUCAAAAUUAACAGGUUUUUGCUUGUAUUCCCUGUGAUGUAUGAGCAGAUUACUUUAUUAGAAAAUCAUUAGAGCAUAAUUUGCUUCUACUUGUUGCUGACAUCAAUUUUUAUUUCUUGUAAUUAAAAUACAGGUUCUUAUAAUAUGUCAUUAUUGUAAAUAGCAUGCUGCCAGAUAUUGAUGUGAAAUUGUCAUUAACCCUAACACCUAUGCCUUUUUUUAAAAGUGUGUGAGUUUACCAAGGUUAUGCCACAUUUAGACCCCUUCACCCUACUUAUACACAAAGUGCUCUUUCUACAGACAGCCUGGGAUGGGUCUCACAAUGAAUUUCCAUAAAUAUUUCCUUUUGUGUUGUCUUGCUUUUAUUCUCAAAAGCCAUGAAAACCCAACUGAAUUUGUCUGGAUCAUUGUGAAUGAGUUUCUUACUGAUGUAGGAA